rnacentral:pre_miRNA from 1 species
CUCGUACUCCCUCCGUUCCGAAUUACUUGUCUUGGAUUUGUCUAGAUACGGAUGUAUCUAGACUCAUUUUAGUGCUAGAUACCUCCGUAUCUAGACAAAUCUAAGACAAGUAAUUCGGAACGGAGGGAGUACUUG